rnacentral:rRNA from 1 species
GACGAACGCUGGCGGCGUGCUUAACACAUGCAAGUCGAACGGAAAGGCCCUGCUUUUGUGGGGUGCUCGAGUGGCGAACGGGUGAGUAACACGUGAGUAACCUGCCCUUGACUUUGGGAUAACUUCAGGAAACUGGGGCUAAUACCGGAUAGGAGCUCCUGCUGCAUGGUGGGGGUUGGAAAGUUUCGGCGGUUGGGGAUGGACUCGCGGCUUAUCAGCUUGUUGGUGGGGUAGUGGCUUACCAAGGCUUUGACGGGUAGCCGGCCUGAGAGGGUGACCGGCCACAUUGGGACUGAGAUACGGCCCAGACUCCUACGGGAGGCAGCAGUGGGGAAUAUUGCACAAUGGGCGGAAGCCUGAUGCAGCAACGCCGCGUGCGGGAUGACGGCCUUCGUGUUGUAAACCGCUUUCGCCUGUGAUGAAGCGUGAGUGACGGUAAUGGGUAAAGAAGCACCGGCUAACUACGUG